AUGCACGCUGGCGGCGUGCCUAAUACCUGCCAGUCGAGCGAACGGACGAGAAGCUUGCUUUUCUGAUGUUAGCGGCGGACGGGUGAGUAACACGUGGAUAACCUACCUAUAAGACUGGGAUAACUUCGGGAAACCGGAGCUAAUAUCGGAUAAUAUUUUGAACCGCAUGGUUCAAAAGUGAAAGACGGUCUUGCUGUCACUUAUAGAUGGAUCCGCGCUGCAUUAGCUAGUUGGUAAGGUAACGGCUUACCAAGGCAACGAUGCAUAGCCGACCUGAGAGGGUGAUCGGCCACACUGGAACUGAGACACGGUCCAGACUCCUACGGGAGGCAGCAGUAGGGAAUCUUCCGCAAUGGGCGAAAGCCUGACGGAGCAACGCCGCGUGAGUGAUGAAGGUCUUCGGAUCGUAAAACUCUGUUACUAGGGAAGAACAUAUGUGUAAGUAACUGUGCACAUCUUGACGGUACCUAAUCAGAAAGCCACGGCUAACUACGUG
rnacentral:rRNA from 1 species